rnacentral:rRNA from 1 species
AGUUUGAUCCUGGCUCAGAGUGAACGCUGGCGGCAGGCCUAACACAUGCAAGUCGAACGGCAGCACAGUAAGAGCUUGCUCUUAUGGGUGGCGAGUGGCGGACGGGUGAGGAAUACAUCGGAAUCUACUCUUUCGUGGGGGAUAACGUAGGGAAACUUACGCUAAUACCGCAUACGACCUACGGGUGAAAGCGGAGGACCUUCGGGCUUCGCGCGGUUGAAUGAGCCGAUGUCGGAUUAGCUAGUUGGCGGGGUAAAGGCCCACCAAGGCGACGAUCCGUAGCUGGUCUGAGAGGAUGAUCAGCCACACUGGAACUGAGACACGGUCCAGACUCCUACGGGAGGCAGCAGUGGGGAAUAUUGGACAAUGGGCGCAAGCCUGAUCCAGCCAUGCCGCGUGGGUGAAGAAGGCCUUAGGGUUGUAAAGCUCUUUCACCGAUGAAGAUAAUGACGGUAGUCGGAGAAGAAGCCCCGGCUAACUUCGUGCCAGCAGCCGCGGUAA